rnacentral:rRNA from 1 species
UUUGAAAAAGUUGAUCCUGGCUCAGGACGAACGCUGGCGGCGUGCCUAAUACAUGCAAGUCGAGCGGACAGAUGGGAGCUUGCUCCCUGAUGUUAGCGGCGGACGGGUGAGUAACACGUGGGUAACCUGCCUGUAAGACUGGGAUAACUCCGGGAAACCGGGGCUAAUACCGGAUGCUUGUUUGAACCGCAUGGUUCAAACAUAAAAGGUGGCUUCGGCUACCACUUACAGAUGGACCCGCGGCGCAUUAGCUAGUUGGUGAGGUAAUGGCUCACCAAGGCGACGAUGCGUAGCCGACCUGAGAGGGUGAUCGGCCACACUGGGACUGAGACACGGCCCAGACUCCUACGGGAGGCAGCAGUAGGGAAUCUUCCGCAAUGGACGAAAGUCUGACGGAGCAACGCCGCGUGAGUGAUGAAGGUUUUCGGAUCGUAAAGCUCUGUUGUUAGGGAAGAACAAGUACCGUUCGAAUAGGGCGGUACCUUGACGGUACCAACCAGAAAGCC